AUUGAACGCUGGCGGCAGGCCUAACACAUGCAAGUCGAACGAGUGGCGGACGGGUGAGUAAUGUAUGGGAAACUGCCUGAUGGAGGGGGAUAACUACUGGAAACGGUAGCUAAUCACGCAUACAAUCGGCUGUGACCAGAUGGGAUUAGCUAGUAGGUGGGGUAAAGGCUCACCUAGGCGACGAUCCCUCGCUGGUCUGAGAGGAUGACCAGCCACACUGGAACUGAGACACGGUCCAGACUCCGGCGGGAGGCAGCAGUGGGGAAUAUUGCACGAGGGGCGCAAGCCUGAUGCAGUCGUGCCGCGUGGAUGAAGAAGGCCUUCGGGUUGUAAAGGACCUUCAGCGGGGAGGCGUUACCCGCAGAAGAAGCACCGGCUAACUCCGUGCCAGCAGCCGCGGUAAUAC
rnacentral:rRNA from 1 species